rnacentral:rRNA from 1 species
CGGGGUGCAGCAGGCGCGAAAACUUUACAAUGCGGGAAACCGUGAUAAGGGGACACCGAGUGCCAGCAUCAUAUGCUGGCUGUCCGGGUGUGUAAAAUACACCCGUUAGCAAGGGCCGGGCAAGACCGGUGCCAGCCGCCGCGGUAACACCGGCGGCCCGAGUGGUGAUCGUGAUUAUUGGGUCUAAAGGGUCCGUAGCCGGUUUGGUCAGUCCUCCGGGAAAUCUGACGGCUCAACCGUUAGGCUUUCGGGGGAUACUGCCAGGCUUGGAACCGGGAGAGGUAAGAGGUACUACAGGGGUAGGAGUGAAAUCUUGUAAUCCCUGUGAGACCACCUGUGGCGAAGGCGUCUUACCAGAACGGGUUCGACGGUGAGGGACGAAAGCUGGGGGCACGAACCGGAUUAGAUACCCGGGUAGUCCCAGCCGUAAACGAUGCUCGCUAGGUGUCAGGCAUGGCGCGACCGUGUCUGGUGCCGCAGGGAAGCCGUGAAGCGAGCCACCUGGGAAGUACGGCCGCAAGGCUGAAACUUAAAGGAAUUGGCGGGGGAGCACAAGGGCGAAUCGC